CCUGAGUUCAUUUUGUGGUGCAAGUGAUGGCUCAUUCGAGAUAUGCAUAAAUAGUUUAUGACAAAAAAAAACAAGUCCAGAUAUUCAAGAACAACAGUUUGAGGAUAAUAUUCAAGGAUCUUUAAUAAAUAUAUAUGCAUACAUACAUGUAUAUAUUUGAUCCAUUCGCAUAACAAUAACUGUUCUAAACAAACGAGCAUCUCUGUAAACUGAAGCCUAAGUUAUUAUGAGAAAUAAUUUGAUGAUGAUAUUCUAUACCACU
rnacentral:lncRNA from 1 species